UAUAAGACCUUGAUACAGAAGUUGCUAUAGGCAGGCAAAGGAUGAUGAUUGAUUGAUUAUUAUUAUUGGCUUAGAUUUGAAAAGCAAUUGGUGAGUUUGGGUUCCUCAGUUUUGGGGGCCACGUUAGAACACCCAUCCUCUGUAAAUCAGGCCCCUUCAUGGUUUCUCUUUGGGCAGCCCAAAAUUGAG